AGUGAACGCUGGCGGUAGGCCUAACACAUGCAAGUCGAACGGCAGCACAGUAAUAGCUUGCUCUUACGGGUGGCGAGUGGCGGACGGGUGAGGAAUACAUCGGAAUCUACUUUUUCGUGGGGGAUAACGUAGGGAAACUUACGCUAAUACCGCAUACGACCUACGGGUGAAAGCAGGGGAUCUUCGGACCUUGCGCGAUUGAAUGAGCCGAUGUCGGAUUAGCUAGUUGGCGGGGUAAAGGCCCACCAAGGCGACGAUCCGUAGCUGGUCUGAGAGGAUGAUAAGCCACACUGGAACUGAGACACGGUCCAGACUCCUACGGGAGGGAGCAGUGGGGAAUAUUGGACAAUGGGCGCAAGCCUGAUCCAGCCAUACCGCGUGGGUGAAGAAGGCCUUCGGGUUGUAAAGCCCUUUUGUUGGGAAAGAAAAGCAGCAGGUUAAUACCACGCUGUUCUGACGGUACCCACAGAAUAAGCACCGGCUAACUUCGUG
rnacentral:rRNA from 1 species